GAAUAUUCAACGAGAUCAAAGGCCAAGUCCCAGAAGACGCAAAAGAGGCUCUCGCACCCUCAGCAUACAUUGAAAUCAUGCAGGUUCCAGUGUUUAGAGCCUUACGACACAUGGCCGAUCAUCCUAAACUGGAGAAGGCACGUCAAGAAGAAGAAUCUUACAAGCAUCGUGCGCAAGAGGUACACCGGCAGAUUGGCAUCCUCGAGACCUCCUGUCCGAGCAUCAUCAGUGCAAU
rnacentral:lncRNA from 1 species